rnacentral:tRNA from 1 species
UCCAGUAUAGCUCAACGGUAGAGCGUCCGAUCGAUAAUCGGUUGAUCAGAGUUCGAUUCUCUGUACUGGGACCA